rnacentral:ncRNA from 11 species
UCGGUGCCCGAGUGGUUAAUGGGGGUGGACUGUAAAUCCACUGGCUCUGCCUACGUUGGUUCAAAUCCAACCCGGCC